rnacentral:rRNA from 1 species
GACAGAGGGUGCAAACGUUGUUCGGAAUUACUGGGCGUAAAGCGCAUGUAGGCGGCCUAGCAGGUCGGAUGUGAAAGCCCUCGGCUCAACCGAGGAAGUGCAUUCGAAACCGCAAGGCUCGAGUCCCGGAGAGGGUAGUGGAAUUCUCGGUGUAGAGGUGAAAUUCGUAGAUAUCGAGAGGAACACCGGUGGCGAAAGCGGCUACCUGGACGAGGACUGACGCUGAGAUGCGAAAGCGUGGGGAGCAAACAGG